rnacentral:rRNA from 1 species
GAUGAGCAUGCCGCGUGAGUGAUGAAGGNCUUCGGGUCGUAAAGCUCUUUUGUUAGGGAAGAACAAGUACCGGAGUAUAUGCGCGUACCUUGACGGUACCUAAACAGAAAGCCCCGGCUAACUACGUGCCAGCAGCCGCGGUAAUACGUAGGGGGCAAGCGUUAUUCGGAAUUAUUGGGCGUAAAGCGCGCGCAGGCGGUUUUUUAAGUCUGAUGUGAAAGCCCCCGGCUCAACCUGGGAAGGGCAUUGGAAACUGGGGGACUUGAGUGCGGAAGAGGGAAGUGGAAUUCCACGUGUAGCGGUGAAAUGCGUAGAGAUGUGGAGGAACACCAAUGGCGAAGGCGGCUUUCUGGUCUGUAACUGACGCUGAAGCGCGAAAGCGUG